UGAACCAUUACUUACAAACUAAAUAAAUACUGAAUAACUAAAUCCCUCACACACAAUGGAAAAAACGCGCUUUUAUUUUGACACGCGCCCAUCCCCCCACAUCUCACGGUCUGACUGGAGUCGAGUUUCACAGAGCAACGCAACAGGAGGAUGACACAACAGUUAUAAGAGCAUUAACAGUAAGGACUAACAUUAACUGACUGUCUGUCCUCAACCAAAGUCAUUCAAGACCUGUAAAAGUUUAGCACAAACGUUUCCCGCGCAAGUUUGAAUCUCUCUCAGUCAGGGGAGAUUGACUGACUGACUGACUGACUGUCUACACGCCACCAAACAGUAAUUUAUACAGAAACCUUUUAAAGUAAGGACUAACAUUAACUGAAUGUCUGUCUGUCUGUCUGUUCUCAAGUCAUUCAAGACCUGUUAAAGUCAUUCAAGACCUGUUAAAGUAAGGACUAAGGUUAACUGUCUGUCUGUCUGUCUGUCUGUCGGUUCUCAACCAAAGUCAUUAAAGACCUGUUAAAGUAAUGACUAACGUUAACUGACUGUCUGUCUGUCUGUCUGUCUGCUCUCAACCAAACAGUCAUUCAAGACCUUUCAAAGUUUAGCACAAAAGUUUCCAGCACAAGUUUGGAUCUUUACCAUUGAGGGUGGCUGACUGUUCUCGACCAACCAUCAUUCACACGCAAAAACUUUAAAGAUAAGUAUGAACGUGCCCAGAGCAGUUUUCGAUCUUUACCAUUAAGGAGGCUGACUGACUAUCCUCUUCCACCCGUCAUUAACACAACAAAAACUAAAGAAAUGUUACUCCAUAUGGACCUAUUCAUUUACUCAUUAUGCUGUGAGUACACCACAGUUUUAUCAGUGAAAAAAUUUAUAUUUGUGUGUUUUCUCACUGCUUGGCAAGGACAGAUGUGGCCCUGUUAAAAAUGUUUAAAUGUUGUUUGGUUAAGGAACAGCACACUGAUUUUGUUUUAAAAUAUUCCUGUUUGGACAGUCUGUUAAAGUCAAAGGAAUACUUGAUAUAUUUCUAAGUAAAGUGUAAAUGAAAAAAUUAGUUUUUAAUGUUGUGACUGAACACAAUGUUGUGAAUGAUUUGGACUGAACAGCACACUUCUGUUUUAUAUCUGAACCUUUUGUAAAAUAAAUGAUUGUUCAUUAAACUCACUGUGUAUUUUAUCUUUUCUGUUAUCAUUUUUUUAUACUAAUGUUUAAAAUUUACCUUUACUCUAAACAAUUGGCUAAACCAACACAAAUACACUGAGUCAUAUGCACUUAUAAUUUAAAGUUUACAAUAUUUAGAUUGAGAUAUAUGUAUAAGUUUUAAAACCAUGAGUGUACCCUGUCAAAGCCAAUUUUGUACCCUUUUUGAAGGGUCCAUAUUUGUACUGUUAAAUAAAGGUACAAAAUUGUCACUAGAGGUACAAAACUGGUCCCUUAAGGUACAAAUCACAAGGGUACAAUUUUGUACCCUCUGCCAAGGGUACAAAAACUGUACCCUUGAGGGUACAGCCCCAG